GUGGGGACGGGACAGGUCGUUUGGGUUGAGGAGAGACUUGGUUGUUCGGCCGGGCGUGUUGCGCCGCAGCUGCCUUCGGAAAGGUCCUCGGCAAGGCGCAUCCCCUGCACCGUCAUUUACGAGAACGAGGUGGUAGCCGCAGCUUUUCUCCGUGAGCGGUUUACCCCGGCCCGACCCGGUUCCUUUGCUGUUCCCUUUGUCUUCCUUUCCUGUUCCCCUCCCCCCGCGCUCGCAAGCACCCCGAGCCGAGGUCCGGUUGCGCGGUGUUCGGGAGCGCGGCAGGGCGGGUGGCGUCGUUGCUGCUGUGCCUCGCGUCCUAUAACCUUUCACCCCAACUCCGAUGCUUUUCCUAGUCAUGCCGAAGGAGCCGAUUAUGAGGUUAUCUGAAGCAGAAGAUUGUGGUGAUUCUCUUCUUGGUCCUUUAAUGAUCAUUGUCGAGAAGCGUGCUGCUC